rnacentral:rRNA from 1 species
GACGAACGCGGCGGCGUGCUUAACACAUGCAAGUCGAACGAAGAGCGAUGGAAGCUUGCUUCUAUCAAUCUUAGUGGCGAACGGGUGAGUAACGCGUAAUCAACCUGCCCUUCAGAGGGGGACAACAGUUGGAAACGACUGCUAAUACCGCAUACGAUCUAAUCUCGGCAUCGAGGAUAGAUGAAAGGUGGCCUCUACAUGUAAGCUAUCACUGAAGGAGGGGAUUGCGUCUGAUUAGCUAGUUGGAGGGGUAACGGCCCACCAAGGCGAUGAUCAGUAGCCGGUCUGAGAGGAUGAACGGCCACAUUGGGACUGAGACACGGCCCAGACUCCUACGGGAGGCAGCAGUGGGGAAUCUUCCGCAAUGGACGAAAGUCUGACGGAGCAACGCCGCGUGAGUGAUGACGGCCUUCGGGUUGUAAAGCUCUGUUAAUCGGGACGAAAGGCCUUCUUGCGAAUAGUGAGAAGGAUUGACGGUACCCGAAUAGAAGCC